GCCGGGCAUGGUGGCACAUGCCUGUAAUCCCAGCUACUCUGGAGGCUGAGGCAGGAGAAUCACUUGAACCCAGGAGGCAGAGGUUGCAGUGAGCCAAGACCGUGCCACUGCACUCCAGCCUGGGCAACAGAGUGAGACUCUGUCUCAA
rnacentral:SRP_RNA from 1 species